GGAGGAGUGCCGGAGAGGCCGAACGGGGCGGAUUCGAAAUCCGUUGGGGGCUGAAACCCCCUCGUGGGUUCAAAUCCCACCUCCUCCG
rnacentral:tRNA from 1 species